rnacentral:rRNA from 1 species
UACCCAGACUCCUACGGGAGGCAGCAGUAGGGAAUUUUGCGCAAUGGGGGAAACCCUGACGCAGCAACGCCGCGUGAUUGAUGAAGCCCUUCGGGGUGUAAAGAUCUGUCAGUGGGGACGAAACUUGACGGUACCCACAGAGGAAGCAUCGGCUAACUCCGUGCCAGCAGCCGCGGUAAUACGGGGGAUGCAAGCGUUGUCCGGAAUCAUUGGGCGUAAAGAGUUCGUAGGUGGCACGUUAAGUCUGGUGUUAAAUGCAGAGGCUCAACCUCUGUUCGGCACUGGAUACUGGCGAGCUUGAAUGCGGUAGAGGUAAAGGGAAUUCCUGGUGUAGCGGUGAAAUGCGUAGAUAUCGAGAGGAACACUCGUGGCGAAGGCGGGUUCCUGGACAUUAACUGACGCUGAGGCACGAAGGCCAGGGGAGCGAAAGGGAUUAGAUACCCUUGUAU